UCCAGAGGGUGCGAGCGUUAAUCGGAAUUACUGGGCGUAAAGCGUGCGUAGACGGUUAUUUAAGUCGGAUGUGAAAGCCCCGGGCUCAACCUGGGAACUGCAUUGGAUACUGGCGAUCUGGAGUGCGGUAGAGGGUGGCGGAAUUCCCGGUGUAGCAGUGAAAUGCGUAGAUAUCGGGAGGAACAUCCGUGGCGAAGGCGGCCACCUGGACCAGCACUGACACUGAGGCACGAAAGCGUGGGGAGCAAACAGG
rnacentral:rRNA from 1 species